rnacentral:rRNA from 1 species
CCUACGGGAGGCAGCAGUAGGGAAUUUUCGUCGAUGGGCGCAAGCCUGAACGAGCAAUGCCGCGUGAACGAGGAAGGUCUUCGGAUCGUAAAGUUCUGUUGAAGGGGAAAAAGAGCGGAGAGAGGAAAUGAUCUCUGAUUGAUAUUACCCUUCGAGGAAGUCACGGCUAACUACGUGCCAGCAGCCGCGGUAAUACGUAGGUGGCGAGCGUUAUCCGGAAUGAGUGGGCGUAAAGGGUGCGUAGGCGGCCUGCUAAGUCUAGAGUGAAGGGUACCGGCUCAACCUGGACAGGCUCUGGAAACUGGCGGGCUAGAGAGCAGGAGAGGGCGGUGGAACUCCAUGUGUAGCGGUAAAAUGCGUAGAUAUAUGGAAGAACACCAGUGGCGAAGGCGGCCGCCUGGCCUGUUGACUGACGCUGAGGCACGAAAGCGUGGGGAGCAAAUAGGAUUAGAUACCCUAGUAGUC